UCCAGAUUCCUAAAAAGAAAUUCUUCAUUUGGUUCAAUAGAAGUUGGGUCAAUUUGGAUAGAAGAUCCACAAAGAUGAUCUAAUGGCUGAGAAGUAUGUGGAGUGAGCAUUACUCAUACUUGAUUUUGCAGAAAUACAAUCCAAUUACUUAUUAUUUUCCAGCUAAUAGAUAAGUGCAGUCCCCAUUCCUCAUCAAGAAAACUUCUUCUUGCAACAGAGACCAUCGCAGAAAACCAUAACCAAUCAAGAUGCAGAGUUGUAGAGCCCAGUUCCUGCUCCUAGGGCUCAGAGAUCAUUUUUGAAGAGAGAGUAGAAGGAUUGUAAGAGUCAGAAGAUCAGGGAGUUUGACUUUAAUAGAGUUUUAACAAUGCUUAACACUUGCCCAAUGCUGCACUGAGAAGUGGACCAGCCCCUUUCUGUCUUAUAUGGAUAUAUAAUUUAUAUAUAUGCUCUUAUACAUACGUACCAUGCAUUACUCCUCACAUAUGUCUAUAAUCAGUCAGUUUUUUACAUACCAUAUGCUACCUAUAAAUUGGCUGUGCAGUUUAUGGCAAUAUGGUUUCUUCUCUGAACUUCAGCUGCUCUUCAGGUCCCUAAGCUGACAUUGUUAUUUCCUUAUUAAAAUCCAAGGGAAAAUCCACAUACAGGAAAAUUAAUAAACAAACAAUGUCA